CCUACGGGGGGCUGCAGUAAGGAAUAUUGGUCAAUGGACGAAAGUCUGAACCAGCCAUCCCGCGUGCAGGAUGAAAGCCCUAUGGGUUGUAAACUGCUUUUAGCAGAGAAGCACAGCUUUCAUUAAUGAGAGUCUGACGGUAUCUGCAGAAUAAGCACCGGCUAACUCCGUGCCAGCAGCCGCGGUAAUACGGAGGGUGCGGGCGUUAUCCGGAAUUACUGGGUUUAAGGGGUGGUAAGAAGUCAGAUGUGAAAUCUUGUCGCUUAACGAUAAAAUUGCCAAUGAUACUGGUACUCUUGAAUGGGGUUGAGGUGAGCGGAAUGUGACAUGUAGCGGUGAAAUGCAUAGAUAUGUCAUGGAACACCAAUUGCGAAGGCAGCUAACUGGGCCUUGAUUGACGCUGAGGCACGAAAGCGUGGGUAGCGAACAGGAUUAGAUACCCUUGUAGUC
rnacentral:rRNA from 1 species